rnacentral:rRNA from 1 species
GAUUGUAGUCUGCAACUCGACUACAUGAAGCUGGAAUCGCUAGUAAUCGCAAAUCAGAAUGUUGCGGUGAAUACGUUCCCGGGUCUUGUACACACCGCCCGUCACACCAUGGGAGUUGGAAGCACCCGAAGUCUGUGACCUAACCGAAAGGGAGGAGCAGCCGAAGGUGAAGCCAGUGACUGGGGUGAAGUCGUAACAAGGUAGC